rnacentral:rRNA from 1 species
GGGUUCCUACGGGAGGCAGCAGUGGGGGAUAUUGGACAAUGGGGGAAACCCUGAUCCAGCGAUGCCGCGUGAGGGAAGAAGGUUUUGGGAUUGAAAACUUUUGUGGGGGGGGACGAAAUUGACGGUACCCCUUUAGAAAGCCACGGCUAACUACGUGCCAGCAGCCGCGGUAAUACGUAGGUGGCAAGCGUUGUCCGGAUUUACUGGGUGUAAAGGGAGUGUAGGCGGGAAAGCAAGUCAGA